rnacentral:rRNA from 1 species
ACACAUGCGAGUCGAACGGAGAUUACAGGCGGAAGUUUUCGGAUGGAAGCUUGUAAACUUAGUGGCGGACGGGUGAGUAACACGUGAGCAACCUGCCUAUCAGAGGGGGAUAACGAUUGGAAACGAUCGCUAAUACCGCAUGACAUAGCGGAACCGCAUGGUUUUGCUAUCAAAGAUUUUAUCGCUGAUAGAUGGGCUCGCGUCCGAUUAGAUAGUUGGUGGGGUAACGGCCUACCAAGUCGACGAUCGGUAGCCGGACUGAGAGGUCGAACGGCCACAUUGGGACUGAGACACGGCCCAGACUCCUACGGGAGGCAGCAGUGGGGGAUAUUGCACAAUGGGGGAAACCCUGAUGCAGCGACGCCGCGUGAGGGAAGACGGUCCUCUGGAUUGUAAACCUCUGUCUUCGGGGACGAAACGAGACGGUACCCGAGGAGGAAGCCACGGCUAACUACGUGCCAGCAGCCGCGGUAAUACGUAGGUGGCAAGCGUUGUCCGGAAUUACUGGGUGUAAAGGGAGCGUAGGCGGGCAGGCAAGUCAGGCGUGAAAUAUAUCGGCUCAACCGGUAACGGCGCUUGAAACUGCAGGUCUUGAGUGAAGUAGAGGUUGGCGGAAUUCCUAGUGUAGCGGUGAAAUGCGUAGAUAUUAGGAGGAACACCAGUGGCGAAGGCGGCCAACUGGGCUUUUACUGACGCUGAGGCUCGAAAGUGUGGGGAGCAAACAGGAUUAGAUACCCUGGUAGUCCACACUGUAAACGAUGAAUACUAGGUGUGCGGGG